rnacentral:rRNA from 1 species
CGUGGUAUCCUGUCUGAAUAUGGGGGGACCAUCCUCCAAGGCUAAAUACUCCUGACUGACCGAUAGUGAACCAGUACCGUGAGGGAAAGGCGAAAAGAACCCCGGCGAGGGGAGUGAAAAAGAACCUGAAACCGUGUACGUACAAGCAGUGGGAGCCUCUUUAUGGGGUGACUGCGUACCUUUUGUAUAAUGGGUCAGCGACUUAUAUUCUGUAGCAAGGUUAACCGUAUAGGGGAGCCGAAGGGAAACCGAGUCUUAACUGGGCGUUAAGUUGCAGGGUAUAGACCCGAAACCCGGUGAUCUAGCCAUGGGCAGGUUGAAGGUUGGGUAACACUAACUGGAGGACCGAACCGACUAAUGUUGAAAAAUUAGCGGAUGACUUGUGGCUGGGGGUGAAAGGCCAAUCAAACCGGGAGAUAGCUGGUUCUCCCCGAAAGCU